GAGUUUGAUCCUGGCUCAGAUUGAACGCUGGCGGCAUGCUUUACACAUGCAAGUCGAACGGUAACAGGGUGCUUGCACCGCUGACGAGUGGCGAACGGGUGAGUAAUAUAUCGGAACGUACCUGGUAAUGGGGGAUAACUAUCCGAAAGGAUAGCUAAUACCGCAUACGCCCCGAGGGGGAAAGUGGGGGACUCGUAAGAGCCUCACGUUAUCAGAGCGGCCGAUAUCAGAUUAGCUAGUUGGUGAGGUAAAGGCUCACCAAGGCAACGAUCUGUAGCGGGUCUUAGAGGACGAUCCGCCACACUGGAACUGAGACACGGUCCAGACUCCUACGGGAGGCAGCAGUGGGGAAUCUUGGACAAUGGGCGAAAGCCUGAUCCAGCAAUGCCGCGUGCGUGAAGAAGGCCUUCGGGUUGUAAAGCGCUUUUGUUCGGGAGGAAAUCCUAAGGGCUAAUAUCUCUUGGGGAUGACAGUACCGGAAGAAUAAGGACCGGCUAACUACGUGCCAGCAGCCGCGGUAAUACGUAGGGUCCAAGCGUUAAUCGGAAUUACUGGGCGUAAAGGGUGCGCAGGUGGUUUAUUAAGUGUGAUGUGAAAGCCCCGGGCUCAACCUGGGAAUUGCAUUGCAAACUGGUAAACUAGAGUAUGGCAGAGGGGGGUGGAAUUCCGCGUGUAGCAGUGAAAUGCGUAGAGAUGCGGAGGAACACCGAUGGCGAAGGCAACCCCCANGGGCUAAUACUGA
rnacentral:rRNA from 1 species